UUAAGCGACUAAGCGUACACGGUGGAUGCCCUGGCAGUCAGAGGCGAUGAAGGGCGUGCUAAUCUGCGAUAAGCGCCGGUAAGGUGAUAUGAACCGUUAUAACCGGCGAUACCCGAAUGGGGAAACCCAGUGUGACUCGUCACACUAUCAUUAACUGAAUCCAUAGGUUAAUGAGGCGAACCGGGGGAACUGAAACAUCUAAGUACCCCGAGGAAAAGAAAUCAACCGAGAUUCCCCCAGUAGCGGCGAGCGAACGGGGAGGAGCCCAGAGCCUGAAUCAGCAUGUGUGUUAGUGGAAGCGUCUGGAAAGGCGCGCGAUACAGGGUGACAGCCCCGUACACAAAAGCGCAUGUGCUGUGAGCUCGAUGAGUAGGGCGGGACACGUGGUAUCCUGUCUGAAUAUGGGGGGACCAUCCUCCAAGGCUAAAUACUCCUGACUGACCGAUAGUGAACCAGUACCGUGAGGGAAAGGCGAAAAGAACCCCGGCGAGGGGAGUGAAAAAGAACCUGAAACCGUGUACGUACAAGCAGUGGGAGCACAGGUUUACCUGUGUGACUGCGUACCUUUUGUAUAAUGGGUCAGCGACUUAUAUUCUGUAGCAAGGUUAACCGCAUAGGGGAGCCGGAGGGAAACCGAGUCUUAAUUGGGCGUUAAGUUGCAGGGUAUAGACCCGAAACCCGGUGAUCUAGCCAUGGGCAGGUUGAAGGUUGGGUAACACUAACUGGAGGACCGAACCGACUAAUGUUGAAAAAUUAGCGGAUGACCUGUGGCUGGGGGUGAAAGGCCAAUCAAACCGGGAGAUAGCUGGUUCUCCCCGAAAGCUAUUUAGGUAGCGCCUCGUGAAUUCAUCUCCGGGGGUAGAGCACUGUUUCGGCUAGGGGGCCAUCCCGGCUUACCAACCCGAUGCAAACUGCGAAUACCGGAGAAUGUUAUCACGGGAGACACACGGCGGGUGCUAACGUCCGUCGUGAAGAGGGAAACAACCCAGACCGCCAGCUAAGGUCCCAAAGUCAUGGUUAAGUGGGAAACGAUGUGGGAAGGCCCAGACAGCCAGGAUGUUGGCUUAGAAGCAGCCAUCAUUUAAAGAAAGCGUAAUAGCUCACUGGUCGAGUCGGCCUGCGCGGAAGAUGUAACGGGGCUAAACCAUGCACCGAAGCUGCGGCAGCGACACUGUGUGUUGUUGGGUAGGGGAGCGUUCUGUAAGCCUGUGAAGGUGGCCUGUGAGGGUUGCUGGAGGUAUCAGAAGUGCGAAUGCUGACAUAAGUAACGAUAAAGCGGGUGAAAAGCCCGCUCGCCGGAAGACCAAGGGUUCCUGUCCAACGUUAAUCGGGGCAGGGUGAGUCGACCCCUAAGGCGAGGCCGAAAGGCGUAGUCGAUGGGAAACGGGUUAAUAUUCCCGUACUUGGUGUUACUGCGAAGGGGGGACGGAGAAGGCUAUGUUGGCCGGGCGACGGUUGUCCCGGUUUAAGCGUGUAGGUGUGUGUUCCAGGUAAAUCCGGUUCACUUUAACACUGAGGCGUGACGACGAGGCACUACGGUGCUGAAGCAACAAAUGCCCUGCUUCCAGGAAAAGCCUCUAAGCAUCAGGUAACAUCAAAUCGUACCCCAAACCGACACAGGUGGUCAGGUAGAGAAUACCAAGGCGCUUGAGAGAACUCGGGUGAAGGAACUAGGCAAAAUGGUGCCGUAACUUCGGGAGAAGGCACGCUGACACGUAGGUGAAGUGAUUUACUCAUGGAGCUGAAGUCAGUCGAAGAUACCAGCUGGCUGCAACUGUUUAUUAAAAACACAGCACUGUGCAAACACGAAAGUGGACGUAUACGGUGUGACGCCUGCCCGGUGCCGGAAGGUUAAUUGAUGGGGUCAGCGCAAGCGAAGCUCCUGAUCGAAGCCCCGGUAAACGGCGGCCGUAACUAUAACGGUCCUAAGGUAGCGAAAUUCCUUGUCGGGUAAGUUCCGACCUGCACGAAUGGCGUAAUGAUGGCCAGGCUGUCUCCACCCGAGACUCAGUGAAAUUGAACUCGCUGUGAAGAUGCAGUGUACCCGCGGCAAGACGGAAAGACCCCGUGAACCUUUACUAUAGCUUGACACUGAACAUUGAGCCUUGAUGUGUAGGAUAGGUGGGAGGCUUUGAAGUGUGGACGCCAGUCUGCAUGGAGCCGACCUUGAAAUACCACCCUUUAAUGUUUGAUGUUCUAACGUGGACCCGUAAUCCGGGUUGCGGACAGUGUCUGGUGGGUAGUUUGACUGGGGCGGUCUCCUCCUAAAGAGUAACGGAGGAGCACGAAGGUUGGCUAAUCCUGGUCGGACAUCAGGAGGUUAGUGCAAUGGCAUAAGCCAGCUUGACUGCGAGCGUGACGGCGCGAGCAGGUGCGAAAGCAGGUCAUAGUGAUCCGGUGGUUCUGAAUGGAAGGGCCAUCGCUCAACGGAUAAAAGGUACUCCGGGGAUAACAGGCUGAUACCGCCCAAGAGUUCAUAUCGACGGCGGUGUUUGGCACCUCGAUGUCGGCUCAUCACAUCCUGGGGCUGAAGUAGGUCCCAAGGGUAUGGCUGUUCGCCAUUUAAAGUGGUACGCGAGCUGGGUUUAGAACGUCGUGAGACAGUUCGGUCCCUAUCUGCCGUGGGCGCUGGAGAACUGAGGGGGGCUGCUCCUAGUACGAGAGGACCGGAGUGGACGCAUCACUGGUGUUCGGGUUGUCAUGCCAAUGGCACUGCCCGGUAGCUAAAUGCGGAAGAGAUAAGUGCUGAAAGCAUCUAAGCACGAAACUUGCCCCGAGAUGAGUUCUCCCUGAGACUUAGAGUCUCCUGAAGGAACGUUGAAGACGACGACGUUGAUAGGCCGGGUGUGUAAGCGCAGCGAUGCGUUGAGCUAACCGGUACUAAUGAACCGUGAGGCUUAACCUU
rnacentral:rRNA from 1 species